rnacentral:rRNA from 1 species
GAUGAACGCUAGCUACAGGCUUAACACAUGCAAGUCGAGGGGUAGCACGGAAGAAGCUUGCUUCUUGGGUGACGACCGGCGCACGGGUGCGUAACACGUAUCCAAUCUGCCCGCGGCUCGGGGAUAGCCCAUCGAAAGGGAGAUUAAUACCGGAUGGUGUUUCAAGUUCGCAUGUAAUUGAAACUAAAGAUUUAUCGGUAACGGAUGGGGAUGCGUGACAUUAGAUAGUAGGCGGGGUAACGGCCCACCUAGUCUACGAUGUUUAGGGGUUCUGAGAGGAAGGUCCCCCACACUGGAACUGAGACACGGUCCAGACUCCUACGGGAGGCAGCAGUGAGGAAUAUUGGUCAAUGGUCGAGAGACUGAACCAGCCAAGUAGCGUGCAGGAUGACGGCCCUCCGGGUUGUAAACUGCUUUUAGUUGGGAAUAAAGUUCGGGACGUGUCCCGUUUUGUAUGUACCAUCAGAAAAAGGACCGGCUAAUUCCGUG